CCACGCCCAUGUCCCCACGGCCACGCCCCCGGGGCCGAGCGGGGCCCGGCGCUCCCCGCGAUCCCAAAGGAGGAAUUUGGGAACCCCCCCGGCCUUCCCUGGGUUCCCCGGCCAUGGAGCGAGCGAGGGGAACAGCCCAGACCGCUCGCACGUCCCACGGGUUGGUUGUGGGCGCUGUCGGGGACUGCCCAGCCCAAUUCUCCCUGUCCCGGCUGCUCCACAUUUAAUUAGAGAAUUAGUCAGGCUGGAAAAGACCUCCGAGGUCAUCGAGUCCAACCAUGUCAACUAGACCACGGCACUAAUGUGCCACGUCCAGUCCUUCCCUAAACAUCUCCAUUCCUGCCUCUGCCGAGCCUAAAAUCAACAGGGUUCUGCAAACAGAGCACAGAGCCGUUCUCCUCUAGGACUCACCAGCUGCCCUCUAUCCUCUUCUAACACCCUUGGAGAAAUUAUCAGCGGCACUGGAUUGGAGUAAAUUAUAAUGUUUGGCAGUGGGAGUUUCUGCUAAGCAUUGCAUGGGAAUAAAAUCAUGGAAUCAUGGAA